GUGAAUUGCAGAAUCUAGUGAAUCAUCGAAUCUUUGAACGGACAUUGCGCCCCUUGGUAUUCCGAGGGGCAUGCCUGUUCGAGCGUC
rnacentral:rRNA from 1 species